AUACGGGGGGAGCAAGCGUUGUCCGGAAUCACUGGGCGUAAAGGGCGUGUAGGCGGGCUGAUAAGUCAGAUGUGAAAGCCCACGGCUUAACCGUGGAAUUGCAUUUGAUACUGUCAGUCUUGAGUGCGAGAGAGGGUAGUGGAAUUCCCGGUGUAGCGGUGAAAUGCGUAGAUAUCGGGAAGAACACCAGUAGCGAAGGCGGCUACCUGGCUCGCAACUGACGCUAAGGCGCGAAAGCGUGGGUAGCAAACAGGAUUAGAAACCCUAGUAGUCC
rnacentral:rRNA from 1 species